AUGGCUACAAAUCAUAGUCUACCAAAUGAUGGCCAAUAUCCGGCCAUCAUUUCCUGGAAGCUCACCAAUGAUGGCCAAUAUUCGGCGGCGACGCCGUACCGUGCACAAUUUCUUGGCCUUAUCGACUCAGAUAUGCCUCUUUUGGUGUGAAAGAAUUGGGCUCCUCCCAAAUGCAUUUUUUUUGCUUGGUUGGCCAUCAACAAUAGAAUUUGGACGGCUGACCGGCUUCAGCGCAGGGGUUGGCCAAACUAUAACCCUUGCCCGCUAUGCAAACAAACGCCAGAAUCAGCAGCUCACCUUCUCUUCCAAUGUGGUUACACGGUUAGAGUCUGGGGAAUGAUCAAAACAUGGCUCGAUUUACAUGAUGUCCAUCCUACGUAUUAG
rnacentral:rRNA from 1 species